CUGACAGGACGAGUAGAGCUGCUCCUUGCAGGCUGACCGCGGCUGGUACAUCGCUUCAUGGUGGAAAGUGCUCUCUCGCCUCUGGCUGCUGUAAUAUUCCGGCGAGUGAUUGGGAAGCUCCAGAAGAACUAAUUGUCCCGUGCCUGAUGCGUGGCAUUAAAGUGAGAGCAGCGAUGAAAAAUGCCGAGGAAAAUCCCCGCCUACCUGCACGAGUUUCCCUUUGUGUAUGGAACGGACCCAAACUUACGUAGAUCUGCUUUAUUGGCAUGCGAGGAAAAAAAAAAAAAAGUGAGAUUGAAAGGGAACGAUGACUAGAGAAGAAGGAAAAAAAAAAAAGAGAAAAACUCGGAUGAGAGCCCGAAGUUUCCUGCUUUGCAGGAGCCGAACAGCUCCCACAUCUGAUUAGAGAGUUACGCAAUAUUUGUAGCUCUGCAAACCCAGCGAUUAUCUGGCAGGAGUAGCCCCGCAUGCAAAUUUUUGGGCAAAGAAACGGGAUGUCCCGAUAACUCGACGCAACCUUAAUUCCGGGGACUGCCGCGAACUGCCCUCGCCGAAGAAACCACCCACAUAAUAAUGACCCUGGAGAGCAACGCAAAACCCAACUGGCUUCCACACAAACUUCGCCAAAUUACUGGGCUCGCCUCAAGACAGGCAAACUGGCAAGAGAUUCUGCGAGGGGGAACAAAAUAAAACGCGACAACUGCCCACAAAGGGUUUGGUAUUUUUUUAAAGGCGCUCUCUAAAAGCUUCCGUCACCGAGCUACUGCAAACCCCUUCAUUCCGACUCUACUGUCUCCAGGUGACCUCACAGGCUUCGUUUUUAUCCUCCCCACACCGUUAUUUCAGUCUUCUCUCUCUUUCUUAUUUCCCUUCUUAUAUUUUCCCCCUCUGAUUCCGUCUCUUUUCCUUUCUUUCUUGUAUUUUCCUAUUUUCUUUCGCUGUUUCUUCCUCUCCUUCUCCCCGUUUCUUUCUCUCCAUUCUCCUUUCUCUCUCCCUUCCCUCCUUCCCUCACCUUUGCGUUGCACAUUUUCGGGGGAAAACAGCACUGCAACCGAUUUCCACCAGCCCAAAUUUCCUCCAGUGCCUCCCUUCUUCACCACCCCACCCUUUUCUUUCUCUCCCCCCCCUCCCUCCCCGGGCAGAAGGAGAUGGGGAAGGAACCAGAAAAGGCAUCUUGACAAACGCGUUUUCUCGAAGGGAAAAGGAUAAAAAAUUAAACGAAGAGAAACGUGCGAUUCCCUUACCUUUUGACGUCCAUUUCUGUGGCAUAAGGUAAAAUGUUUGGGGAGGGAGAGACAGCGUUUGCUUAUCUGUUAGCUGACAAAUAUUGUCCCAACCUGAGAGCCGCCGGUCGCCUCUCUGACUUGUGAGAGCUUCUUGCAUUUCUGUCAUUUGCAUAGAAAAUGGAGUAACUUCCCUCCGUGAAAAAUGAUCGCCUCCACUCCGUCCAGAAUCUCCUCUGCCCUUCCAUUAUUACUGAGAUUCCAAAGCAGCGGGCCAAUUAACGGAGGAAAUUUUUUUU